rnacentral:rRNA from 1 species
UACAGAGGGGGCAAGCGUUGUUCGGAAUUACUGGGCGUAAAGGGCGCGUAGGCGGCCUGUUAAGUCGAACGUGAAAUCCCCGGGCUCAACCCGGGAACUGCGUCCGAUACUGGCAGGCUUGAAUCCGGGAGAGGGAUGCGGAAUUCCAGGUGUAGCGGUGAAAUGCGUAGAUAUCGGGAGGAACACCUGUGGCGAAAGCGGCGCACUGGACCACAACUGACGCUGAGGCGCGAAAGCUAGGGGAGCAAACAGG